rnacentral:miRNA from 1 species
GAGCGUCUAAUCCUGGCCAGGC